rnacentral:rRNA from 1 species
CCUACGGGGGGCAGCAGUGGGGAAUAUUGGACAAUGGGCGAAAGCCUGAUCCAGCCAUGCCGCGUGUGUGAAGAAGGCCUUCGGGUUGUAAAGCACUUUCAGUGGGGAAGAAAGCCUUGGGGCUAAUACCCUCGAGGAAGGACAGCACCCACAGAAGAAGCACCGGCUAACUCCGUGCCAGCAGCCGCGGUAAUACGGAGGGUGCGAGCGUUAAUCGGAAUUACUGGGCGUAAAGCGCGCGUAGGCGGUCUGAUAAGCCGGUUGUGAAAGCCCCGGGCUCAACCUGGGAACGGCAUCCGGAACUGUCAGGCUAGAGUGCAGGAGAGGAAGGUAGAAUUCCCGGUGUAGCGGUGAAAUGCGUAGAGAUCGGGAGGAAUACCAGUGGCGAAGGCGGCCUUCUGGACUGACACUGACGCUGAGGUGCGAAAGCGUGGGUAGCAAACAGGAUUAGAUACCCCUGUAGUC